rnacentral:rRNA from 1 species
AUGGCUAGGAUUAAUUAUGGCGUCAUAUCUUUGAUCCCCAAAGUAGUUGGGGCAAAGGAUAUUCGGCAAUUCCGCCCCAUCACGGUGAUCAAUGUGUUGGAGCGAAUCUUUUCGAAGGUUUGGGCGACUCGUUGAUCCCUCGUGGCAGAAAGGAUUGCCCACCCCCUUCAGUCCGCAUUCUUGAAAGGCCGACGGAUCCAUGACGGGAUUCUUGCCCUUCACGAGAUUGUCCAUGAGGUGCCAUUGAAGGGGCUUUAGGGGGUCUUCCUCAAACUGGAUUUCCAGAAGGCUUAUGACUGUCUGGACUGGUCCUUUUUGAGGUUGGUGAUGCAACGAUGA